CUUGCACCUGGGGCUCCCAUAUCCCAGAUGAGUGCUCUGAGCCUCCGGCUUUUUUGGGACGGGGUGUCUCCCUCUCUCUCUGGCUUUCACCAGAAAUUGCACCCUGCACCUGAGAACCGUUCCCGAGAAAAGUACCGUCAACUCUGGUUGGGUGUGCUCUUGAUCUCAGGUCUAAGGUUGCAAAUAUCCAGUGUGAAGCUGCAAAUGUUUCUAUGCUCCCCCUAUCAUCUC